AAAAAUUAGGAAAAAACCGAGAUUAGUGCUUGUACUUUAGUGGAUUAUACAGAUAUUGAAGGCUUUGAAGGCUUUGUCGGGAUAUAAAAGCUUGUAACGAUUUGGAAGAGUUGAUGGGUUUAUAAAAUAACUUGGAGCAAGUGAUCAGAGAGAGGACGAGACUGAUAUAAUAAUGGCCAUGGAGUUAAGUUAGUCUUUUAUCUUCAAAUCUCCACUCAACUUGUUUGUAUAUUUGGUGAGAGUUAUCUUUUUGGUCAGGUCAAAUAGUAUAUACGUUGAGUGAAACACACUGAUGCAGGAUACCUCUUGGCUUUGUUGUAACCAAGCUCUGAGAUAAUCUGUGCAUAGUUUUAACUAGCCUUUAGAUUAGUGCUUGUGCUUUAGUGGAUUAUACAGAGAUAGAAUGAUCGUCCUUUUCUUUUUUACGCAACAGAACAGGAUGUGCUUUGUUUGUAAUUGUAAUUGUCUCUCACAUAAUGAAGAAAUUUAUUCUGAUUAAAGUGACUAAAUUAGGUUGCAUUAUAAAUGAAAGUUUACAAAAGUUUUGUUUCUGUGUUUGUGAAAGCACUAGAUCACAUAGCACAAAUACAUUCACAAAGGGUUCUUGCCCUUUCCAUCAUCAUAUUAGAUUAUAGAACAAGAGGGAGAACCCAGAAAGCAAUUGUUUUUUUUUCUUUUUGGAAGAAAGACAAAGCAAUUUAGUCCCAUCUUUUUGAAUAAUCCCAAAAUUCAGAGCCAUUCACUUCAUGGUCCUAAACCCCAACAACUGAAGAAGCUCCCAGAAGAGAGAAGAAGAGAUGAAGCUCAGGUCUUUGGUGUUAUCCCUCGUUAUAUGUAACUACAAGGAUCUGUUCAUUCCAAUCACUGUCAACUCGGGAUAUAAAAGUUUGUGAUAUGUUUUCCUCAGACAAAAAGUCUCAGUUUAAAUGCCCACAGGCUCAAAUAUUCUUAGUUGAAAGCAGACACAAAAGAGGAAUACAAAUACAAGGUUUCAUCAAGGAAAUUUUAAUAUUCUCAGUAGUGUAACAUAAAUGUACUGUUGGACAACCACUAGACCCAAAAGCUUGUAAUGAACUUUAAACUAGUUGACCACAUCUUUGCUCCUCUUGA